UGUGUAAAACCUAACUCCAUUAACAAUGCAACUUGAAUAGGUUCUCAUACAAAAAUUAGAACCGCAUGCUAAUGCAUAUAAUUCAUUAGUCGCUUUUGACAACUUCAUGUUUCACAGUCGUGUUGUCUAGAAGAAAAAUCAACAUAUGUAAGCAACACGAGAAAGUCUAAACAUGACAUUCUUGUAAAAAGUUCCCAUAUAUAAAUAACAUACAUGUUUUUCAAGCCAUUGAGGAAAUUGUUGUCCUGGUCUUUGAUCUAUAUUUUCAUCACUUUCUUUCAUUAGUUCGCCCCUAUGAAUACUUUAAAAAAAUUAUGUAAAUA
rnacentral:lncRNA from 1 species